rnacentral:rRNA from 1 species
AUUGAACGCUGGCGGCAUGCCUUACACAUGCAAGUCGAACGGCAGCACGGGUGCUUGCACCUGGUGGCGAGUGGCGAACGGGUGAGUAAUACAUCGGAACAUGUCCUGUAGUGGGGGAUAGCCCGGCGAAAGCCGGAUUAAUACCGCAUACGAUCUACGGAUGAAAGCGGGGGACCUUCGGGCCUCGCGCUAUAGGGUUGGCCGAUGGCUGAUUAGCUAGUUGGUGGGGUAAAGGCCUACCAAGGCGACGAUCAGUAGCUGGUCUGAGAGGACGACCAGCCACACUGGGACUGAGACACGGCCCAGACUCCUACGGGAGGCAGCAGUGGGGAAUUUUGGACAAUGGGCGAAAGCCUGAUCCAGCAAUGCCGCGUGUGUGAAGAAGGCCUUCGGGUUGUAAAGCACUUCUGUCCGGAAAGAAAUCCUUGGCUCUAAUACAGUCGGGGGAUGACGGUACCGGAAGAAUAAGCACCGGCUAACUACGUG